AUGUGUGCCAGGGGAGGUGGGUGUGCCCGUGUCCUGUCUUCCAUGUGUGCCAGGGGAGGUGGGCAUGCCCAUGUCCUGUCUUCCAUGUGUGCCAGGGGAGGUGGGCAUGGCUGUGCCCUGUCUUCCAUGUGUGCCAGGGGAGGUGGGUGUGCUCGUGUCCUGUCUUCCAUGUGUGCCAGGGGAGGUGGGCGUGCCCGUGUCCUGUCUUCCAUGUGUGCCAGGGGAGGUGGGCAUGCCCAUGUCCUGUCUUCCAUGUGUGCCAGGGGAGGUGGGCAAGGCUGUGCCAUCUUCCAUGUGUGCCAGGGGAGGUGGGUGUGCCCAUGUUCUGUCUUCCAUGUGUGCCAGGGGAGGUGGGCGUGCCGUGCCCUGUCUUCCAUGUGUGCCAGGAGAGGUGGGCGUGCCGUGUCCUAUCUUCCGUGUGUGCCAGGGGAGGUGGGCGUGCCCGUGUCCUGUCUUCUGUGUGUGCCAGGGGAGGUGGGCAUGCCAUGCCCUGUCUUCCAUGUGUGCCAGGGGAGGUGGGCAUGCCCAUGUCCUGUCUUCCAUAUGUGCCAGGGGAGGUGGGCGUGCCAUGUCCUGUCUUCUGUGUGUGCCAGGGGAGGUGGGCAUGCCAUGCCCUGUCUUCCAUGUGUGCCAGGGGAGGUGGGUGUGCUGUGUCUGUCUUCCGUGUGUGCCAGGGGAGGUGGGCGUGCCCGUGUCCUGUCUUCCAUGUGUGCCAGGGGAGGUGGGUGUGCUGUGUCCUGUCUUCCGUGUGUGCCAGGGGAGGUGGGCAUGCCCGUGUCCUGUCUUCCAUGUGUGCCAGGGGAGGUGGGCAUGCCCAUGUCCUGUCUUCCAUAUGUGCCAGGGGAGGUGGGCGUGCCAUGUCCUGUCUUCUGUGUGUGCCAGGGGAGGUGGGCAUGCCAUGCCCUGUCUUCUGUGUGUGCCAGGGGAGGUGGGCAUGCCGUGUCCUGUCUUCUGUGUGUGCCAGGGGAGGUGGGCAUGCCGUGUCCUGUUUUCCGUGUGUGCCAGGGGAGGUGGGCAUGCCGUGCCCUGUCUUCUGUGUGUGCCAGGGGAGGUGGGCGUGCCGUGUCCUGUCUUCUGUGUGUGCCAGGGGAGGUGGGCGUGCUGUGUCCUGUCUUCUGUGUGUGCCAGGGGAGGUGGGCAUGCCAUGCCCUGUCUUCACGUGUGCCAGGGGAGGUGGGCGUGCCGUGUCCUGUCUUCUGUGUGUGCCAGGGGAGGUGGGCGUGCCGUGUCCUGUCUUCCAUGUGUGCCAGGGGAGGUGAGCGUGGCUGUGCCCUGUCUUCCAUGUGUGCCAGGGGGGGUGGGUGUGGCCAUGUCCUCUCUUCUGUGUGUGCCAGGGGAGGUAGGUGUGCCUGUGUCCAGUCUUCCCUGUGUGUCCAGGGGAGGUGGGUGUGCCGGUGUCCUGUCUUUCAUGUGUGUGCCAGGGGAGGUGGGUGCGCCCAUGUCCUGUCUUCCUUGUGCCCAGGGGAGGUGGGUGUGCCUGUGUCCUGUCUUCCAUGUGUGCCCAGGGGAGGUGGGUGUGCCUGUGUCCUGUCUUCCAUGUGUGUGCCAGGGGAGGUGGGUCCGUGCCUGUGUCCUGUCUUCCAUGUGUGCCCAGGGGAGGUAGGUGUGCAUGUGUCCUGUCUUCCAUGUGUGUGCCAGGGGAGGUAGGUGUGCCUGUGUCCUGUCUUCCAUGUGUGCCCAGGGGAGGUGGGUGUGGCUAUGUCCUGUGUUCUGUCUCUGCUCAUCUGUAAACUCUGUAAACGUCCAUGCUUCCUCCCACCCCCUGAGACGGAGUCUCACCCUAUCACCCACGCUGGAGUGCAAAGGUGAGAUCUUGGCUCACCGCAACCUCCACCCCACCAGGUUCAAGCCAUUCUCCUGCCUCAGCCUCCUGAGUAGCUGGGAUUACAGGCGCCCACCACCACAUCCAGCUAAUUUUUUUGUAUUUUUAGUGGAGACGGGGUUUUACCAUGUUGGCCAGGCUGGUCUUGAACUCCUGACCUCGUGAUCCACCCACCUCAGCCUCCCAAAGUGCUGGGAUUACAGGUGUGAACCACUGCCCCCAGCCUGUAUAUGCCCUUUUGUGUGGUUUCCGUGUGCUGUUGUUUUUGCUCUUGUGUCCCUUUCGGUGAUGUUGCUGUUUGAAGCGGCGCCUGUGCCUGGGACCAAGACACCAUCCUGUGGUCAGCACAGGACGGCCAUGGGGUGCCCCAUGGAGAAUGCGUGUGGGCGACCUGCCUCCGGGCGGGAGCUCUGGCACCGCCAGCUGUGAGCUCGAUGCUGCGGGAUCAAUAGAACACGCUCAGCACAGUGUCUCGGAAUAGGGCCACGCAUAAAGCAGGGCUGGGUAUUGAUCUGGAUGGAGCUGUUGUGACCGGAGGCAGCAGGAACCUCCCGGCGCCACCCCCAGGAGCAGCGGCUCCCUGUGCAGAGGCUUCCUAGACAGGCCUGGGGGCAGUGAGGGCUGACUGGCGCCCUGUCCUCUUGCUGCUGUGGUGACGCUCCCCCGGGGCCGUGCCUCUUCUCGUGUUCUGGUGUCCCUGCGUCCCCCUCAGCCCUUUGCCAGCGGGGGAUGCCUGGGUGCUCCUCGGCAGGCACAUUGACCUCAGCCGUGUGGCCUGGAGUGGGGCCGUGGGGCAGGGUCUGCAGACACCCUUUUUGCAAGCCC
rnacentral:lncRNA from 13 species